GGAAGGUAGAACCCUGGGCCAAGACUGCAAAAAGCCAGCCCGAGCAGGAAGACAGUCAAGUUCAAAGGGAGAUUUGAAGUUGCCAUGCUGCUGCUGGCUUUGAAGACAGAGGAAGAGGCCACCGCCUGGAGAACUCAGAGCAAAUAGAGCCCAAUCACAUAAAACCACAACUGGACACAUGCAGAGACCAACAGAUCCUGGGAGCCCACCCCAGUGGAUACAGCUACAUCAUAGCUCCUGUAUCUACGGCUCUGGGAACAUCACAGAAGAGGAGCCAGAAAGACUGACAGGACACCAGAAAGUCUGCAGAGAAACAGUCUCUCCUAGAAAUGGGGCAUAAUCAAGACGGAAAUAACAGCAAUGUCAAGAGACGUAUUAAUGUAGAAAGGGGAAAAGGUUUUUUUUGAGUACCCCUAGACUACAGGCAACUGAUGACUGCUAGGACAUGAGCCUCCUUAACGGUUGUCCAAGGUGGAGUGGUCAGCCUCAAAACCAUAUCGACACCAUCAACAAAAGUGGACUCGGAAGGUUGUAUUUGUAUAUAUUUGUGUGGAUACACAUACACACAUUCUCCUCUAUAUAU